rnacentral:misc_RNA from 1 species
GAUGAAGAACGUAGCGAAAUGCGAUAAGUAAUGCGAAUUGCAGAAUUCAGUGAGUCAUCGAAUCUUUGAACGCACAUUGCGCCCUGUGGUAUUCCGCAGGGCAUGCCUGUUCGAGCGUCAUUUCAACCCUCAAGCUCUGCUUGGUGUUGGGCCCUGCCCGCUGCGGCCGGCCCUAAAGACAGUGGCGGUGCCGCCUGGCCCUGAGCGUAGUACAUCUCUCGCUCCAGUGCCCGGUGGUAGCCUGCCAGAACCCCAACUCUCGUGGUUGACCUCGGAUCAGGUAGGGAUACCCGCUGAACUUGAGCAUAUCAAUAAGCGGAGGA